rnacentral:rRNA from 1 species
CCUACGGGUGACAGCAGUGGGGAAUAUUGCACAAUGGGGGAAACCCUGAUGCAGCGACGCCGCGUGAGUGAAGAAGUCAUUCGUUAUGUAAAGCUCUAUCAGCAGGGAAGAAAAUGACGGUACCUGUGUUAGAAGCCCCGGCUAACUACGGGCCAGCACCCGCGGGAAUACGGAGGGGGCAAGCGUUAUCCGGAUUUUCUGGGUGUAAAGGGAGCGUAGACGGCAGUGCAAGGCUGGAGUGAAAGGCGCGGGCUCAACCCCCGGACUGGUCUGGAAACUGGACGGCUGGAGUGCAGGAGAGGUAAGUGGAAUUCCUAGUGUAGCGGUGAAAUGCGUAGAUAUAAGGAGGAACACCAGUGGCGAAGGCGGCUGACUGGACUGUAACUGACGGUGAGGCUCGAAAGCGUGGGGAGCAAACAGGAUUAGAUACCCCUGUAGUC